rnacentral:rRNA from 1 species
AUUGAACGCUAGCGGGAUGCCUUACACAUGCAAGUCGAACGGCGUGUCGAACGGGUGAGUAAUGUAUCGGAACGUGCCCAGUAGCGGGGGAUCACUACGCGAAAGCGUAGCUAAUACCGCAUACUAUUUGAGCGGCCGAUUUCGGAUUAGCUAGUUGGUGGGGUAACGGCUCACCAGGGCGACGAUCCGUAGCGGGUUUGAGAGGACGACCAGCCACACUGGGACUGAGAGACGGCCCAGACUCAUACGGGAGGCAGCAGUGGGGAAUGUUGGACAAUGGGCGAAAGCCUUAUCCAGCAAUCCCGCGUGUGCGAUGAAGGACUUCGGAUUGUAAAGCACUGUUGGCAGGGAAGCGGUACCUGAAGAAUAAGCACUGGCUAACUACGUGCCAGCCGCCGCGGUAAGAC